CACUCUUCUCCCUUGCUCUCCAGGUUCCAGUGACUCUGCUGUCCACUACACCCCACCACUGCAGCCCAUCACUCAAGAGUGCCACAGCCUGUGGCAGGGACUGUCUUUCGGGGAUGAAGUUUCCACUGCUUGAAAGCAGGCACCACGGUAGUCACUAGGAAGAUGGCAGAGAACAAAAUAGACAAAGCCCUUCCCUUCUGGAAGUUCUAUUCUAGUGAGAAAUGCUCUAGUAGAGUGGAGUUAAGAGGCCAGGCAGCAGGGACAUGAAUACAACUCGCUGCAGCUGGGAAAGCCGAAAGGCGUAUGCUUUAGGCUCUGCUAUUUCUCUUCAUCCUGGAAGAAUGGAGCAGAGUUUACAAACUCAAAGUCGAUGUACAGGACACGGCCAGAGUGAUGAGUGUGCACGCAGCAUGUGUGCAUGGUUGGAUUGGAGGGCGCCAGCCUUGCCUCAAGGGCAGAUGCUCCAUAGUACCGGCUUCUUACUACUGACUGGUGGUCUGAUGCACACUGAAGUUUGAGAAUCACCAAACUGGAGUUGUAAGGACAACAGCUUCCCGCCAGUGGAGGGCUGAGCGGGCAGGAUCAUGUUCCCUGUGUCAGCCUGAGCAUCCCAUGGCCUGGUUCCAGCUUCUCAGGGCAAACAGCCAUGCAGAGAACAUAUCUCUUUGUGCCAGAAAGGGGGGGGCGGAGAGGGGACCUGCAGGAGGAGCACCCCACCCCCACCCCAGGCUGGCUUCGACUCUCCAAAGCCCCACGUGGUUAGAUGCCCGUCCUAGUGGCUUUUGCCCUAGUGGGCAGUGGGACUGCAAACCCUAAUGCCUUUUGCUUCCCUGGUGAACUUUCUCUGGAUGGAAACACUUUGCAGGGGAGACUGUCCAAAUAGAGAUGUCAGGUUCCAUGAGAAGGCAGCCACAGGUCUGUGGACAGCCCGGGUGUUGACAGACAAGUGUUAAGCAAUAUGUUUGUAGGUCUCUUGCUUAAUUGUCACAACUGCAGUUAAAACUAGUAGUUCUCUGGCAGGGGUGUCAGUUCCAAAAAUCCACAGGCUCCUCUUCAACAGCUGUGAACACCCUGGCCUUUGUAGAUGUUUAUUCUGAAGCUGCCAGGGCACUUCACCUGGUUCACCUGAUAGCCCGGAAUGCUCCGUGGGAUUAGUAUUCCCACCCAAUAUUUACAGGUUCCCAUAGUUCAAGGACUCAGGAUGGGCUCCUUCCCCAAUGUGUCCUCUGCCUGCUCAUGUAGUGGUGAGGUGCAAAUAUGCAUGUUGGCAAAAAUGUGUGUUUUUCUCCAGAUGGAGAAAAAUAGAAAUCUGGAGUUCAUCUUCAUGGGAAUAAUCAUCAAAGCAAUCCAUCCCAUUCACCCACCAGCCCCCAAAUACUCACAUGUUACUCUACGGAAAGAACUUUGGUUGAUUUUUCCAAUAGGAAGCAACAAGGAACAAAUUAAUAACCUAUGUUUCUGUGUACAUUUCUACGUCUAAAGGGUCCAUUUAAGUAAAGCCUUCUUCCUAGAUUACUCUGAGCAAAUAUUUUUAGUUGUUAAGAACCAUAAUCAAUGUAAGAUAUAACAGCUGUAAAACUUAUAGUAGUCAUAAUACCUGUAAUAAAAUAUUAAACUUAGUAGAGAAUAUAGGCAAUAACCACAAGGGCUAAUGUUUAUGGAGCACUUACUCUGGGACCAGGCAUGGUGCUAAGUGCUUUACUCAGAUUAUUUCACUUAAUCUUUACAACCCUAUGAGAUUUAAUCCUCAAAUCCAAUCAACCAGGGAUGUAAUGUUACCAUCUUACAGACGGCGAAAUGAAAUCUUGGAAAGGCUGAAUGUACAAGAUGUUUUACAUGGUUAUAUCAUUGGAUCCUUAGGCUGACCCUGUGAGAUUGGCCCCCUCAAUGCCCCUAUGGAAAGGUGUUAUCACCUUUUUAUGGUUAAGGGAACUGGAGUGGGGGAGUGGUUAAAUAGACCCACAAUUGCACAGUCAUUAGGCAGAAGAGACGAG
rnacentral:lncRNA from 10 species